AGUCCAUGAAAACCAACUAAAACAUUUUGUUUAUAAUGUUACAGAUAAUCAAAAUCAACUAAAACAUUUCUAACACCAAGUGGUGGAGAGGUUGCAGGUCCAAAGGAUGCUUAUUCAUUACAAUCUGGCUUUGUUUGGGAUGAAGCAUCUGGCUAUUAUUAUGAUGGUUCUUCUGGAUUCUAUUAUGAUGGAAAUACAGGAUUAUAUUAUGAUGGUAACAAUGGGGUUUGCUAUUCUUAUGAUCACCAAACUCAGCAGUAUGCCCCUACUCUGAUCAGAGUGACAAUAAAACAGCUGGAAAACAAAAUACUUACACGGAAACCGAACUUGAUGAAGUGCAAGUUGAAUGGAUUAAUUUCGUACUAAAGAAUAUGAGUUGAAAUCCAAUGAGCAAUCAAAGGGUAACAUCGCGAACAGAGAAAGGAUGUAUACAAAACACAGGUGUGGUUCUAGGUCAAUCCCUGUUAGAGUAGAAAAACUGAUUGGAUUGGGGUGGCAUUUUUGACGUGCAACAAUGAUGUAAUUUGCUUGAAUGUUCA